rnacentral:rRNA from 1 species
UACGUAGUGUGCGAGCGUUGUCCGGAAUUAUUGGGCGUAAAGGGCUCGUAGGCGGUUUGUCGCGUCGGGAGUGAAAACCAGGUGCUUAACACCUGGCUUGCUUUCGAUACGGGCAGACUAGAGGUAUGCAGGGGAGAACGGAAUUCCUGGUGUAGCGGUGAAAUGCGUAGAUAUCAGGAGGAACACCUGCGGUGUAGACGGCUUACUGGACCAUAACUGACGCUGAUGCGCGAAAGCGUGGGGAGCAAACAGG